UACAGAGGGGGCAAGCGUUGUUCGGAAUUACUGGGCGUAAAGGGCGCGUAGGCGGCCCGCUAAGUCGAACGUGAAAUCCCCGAGCUCAACUCGGGAACUGCGUCCGAUACUGGCGGGCUUGAAUCCGGGAGAGGGAUGCGGAAUUCCAGGUGUAGCGGUGAAAUGCGUAGAUAUCUGGAGGAACACCGGUGGCGAAGGCGGCAUCCUGGACCGGUAUUGACGCUGAGGCGCGAAAGCGUGGGGAGCAAACAGG
rnacentral:rRNA from 1 species